rnacentral:rRNA from 1 species
AUACGUAGGGGGCGAGCGUUGUCCGGAAUGAUUGGGCGUAAAGGGCGCGUAGGCGGCCCGGUAAGUCUGGAGUGAAAGUCCUGUUUUUAAGAUGGGAAUUGCUUUGGAUACUGUCGGGCUUGAGUGCAGGAGAGGUAAGUGGAAUUCCCAGUGUAGCGGUGAAAUGCGUAGAGAUUGGGAGGAACACCAGUGGCGAAGGCGACUUACUGGACUGUAACUGACGCUUAGGCGCGAAAGUGUGUGGAGCAAACAGGAUUUGAUACCCUGGUAGUCCACACUGUAAACGAUGAAUGCUAUGUGUAGGGGGUAUCGACCCCUUCUGUGCCGCAGUCAACACAAUAAGCAUUCAGCCUGGGGAGUACGGUCGCAAGGUUGAAACUCAAAUGAAUUGACGGGG